rfam:Dipodomys ordii contig_2054, whole genome shotgun sequence.
UGGCUCAGUGGUAGAGCACUUGCCUUGCAUGCAUGAGGCCCUGGGUUCGAUUCCUCA